rnacentral:rRNA from 1 species
UACGAAGGGGGCUAGCGUUGCUCGGAUUGACUGGGCGUAAAGGGCGCGUAGGCGGUUCGUACAGUCAGACGUGAAAUUCCUGGGCUCAACCUGGGGGCUGCGUUUGAUACGUGCGGACUUGAGUGCGGAAGAGGGUCGUGGAAUUCCCAGUGUAGAGGUGGAAUUCGUAGAUAUUGGGAAGAACACCGGUGGCGAAGGCGGCGACCUGGUCCGAUACUGACGCUGAGGCGCGAAAGCGUGGGGAGCAAACGGG